rnacentral:lncRNA from 1 species
GCAACUACUGCUGCUGCCGAGCUCAGGUUGCAAGGCGUGGGAAGCAGUGACCCCUCCAGAAAUGUCUCCAGAAGCGUGAGUCCUCAUGUCCAAGAAAGCUCUCAGGAAAAUCCCCUGGUUUUACAUGCUAGGCCAGCUAUUUGUCAAAAAGUGGAAGCAGAGGAACCCCUAGACCAGGAAGAGGAUGGGAGGGCCACUUACCUUACCUCACACACAACGUACACAACCUAGACAGCCAUAGAUCUGUGGGAACUGGUAAAACAGUUAAAGGAAAAGGUGGGUGAGACAGUGUCCAAGUGGCUGCUAUGGAUGUGGGAUAAUGGGGCUGAUAACAUACAGUUAAAGCCACAGGAGGUGUCCCAAAUAGUCAGCAUAGCCAGCACCCCCUCGACAAGAUGGGUUCUACAGGAUGUGCACAGGACAGCCCCAGAAGCAGGUAUUAAUCUAAACUGGUUGCUGGCAGCCGCUGGCCUGGUUUGGAGAAUCCAGUUGACCUGCCCGAGCAAGUCACUAAAAGGACAACCUAUUUAGACUUCAUAACUGGGCUGCGGGAAAUGGACAUGCACCAAAUGAUGUUCACACUGCAAUACUGUGGCCCAGAUGAGGAACUGCUGGUUGCACGCGUGAAGGGCAUGAUCCCGCUGAGCGAAUCAGUCGGCGCAUCUGGGUCAGCGGCAGCCUUUCUAGCUCCCUUUACGGAUCGCCCAGUCCACAAUGCUGUGGCAUAGAGAGCCUUUUCUGGUCCUCGUAGCAGUCCAGGAAGUUUAUGUUUGCAGUCUCGCAGGAAAGCUGUUGGAAUUCUAGCAAGUUAAUUCUAGUGUUCUACUUCCAGUGCAAUCCAUGGCAUGAACAAAGACACACAUAUCCAAGAUGGUGGGGAGCCAAGGGAGUCCCAAGUCCAGCGAGGGUGAUGGCUAACCGGAACAAAGGCCCUGACCCAAGGCCAGGAGCGUCAUCCAGGUGGUCCUCCACUGUGGAUGUGGAAAUGAAGCACCAAAGUAAAACGAGAUCUGUAAAAACUGUACCGGCACAGGAGAAGGAGAAGGGGGUGAGGGGGGCGGGCCCCCGGAGGGCAGGCUGUGCGGUCCCUGAAGCUCGGUCAGCACCAGAUCUGGAUGGAC